rnacentral:rRNA from 1 species
GUCGAACGCUCGUAGCAAUACGGGAGUGGCAGACGGGUGAGUAACGCGUGGGAACAUACCCUCCGGUUCGGAAUAGCUCAGGGAAACUUGGAUUAAUACCGGAUACGGCUGAGAGGCGAAAGAUUUAUCGCCGGAGGAUUGGCCCGCGUUCGAUUAGCUUGCUGGUGAGGUAACGGCUCACCAAGGCGAUGAUCGAUAGCUGGUCUGAGAGGAUGAUCAGCCACAUUGGGACUGAGACACGGCCCAAACUCCUACGGGAGGCAGCAGUGGGGAAUAUUGGACAAUGGGCGCAAGCCUGAUCCAGCCAUGCCGCGUGAGUGAUGACGGCCUUAGGGUUGUAAAGCUCUUUCGCUCGGGACGAUAAUGACGGUACCGAGAUAAGAAGCCCCGGCUAACUUCGUGCCAGCAGCCGCGGUAAUACGAAGGGGGCUAGCGUUGUUCGGAAUUACUGGGCGUAAAGCGCGUGUAGGCGGGUCUUUAAGUCA